CUGCAUCGAGGGAUGCUGCCUGCCAGACUGACCCACUGGAGACCCGUUCUGGAGGCACACAGCUGUCCUGGAGGACUCUACAGUCUCAUGUCAGAAGUAAAGGUGUCCAGGCUACUGUGUCCUGCUAGGAUGUUGGUGUUGGGACAUCCACUAGAGAUCCUUUUUAUUUAUCAUCAACACCAGUAAAGAAACCUUCAAAGAGAUCUCGUCUCAACCUGGACGAGGAGCAGGAGCGGGAUUCAGAUCCAUUACAGGACACCUCUUCAGUGGCAUCUUCAAAAGGGCAGGACUCCACCUAUGACCAUUCAAACUCUUUGACAUUUCCUUUGACUCUGUCAAUAUGGUUUUAACUAUGACAAUAUGACACAUUUCGCCGGCAUGCCAGAUCCUUCAUUGAGCCUGCAGUCAUUCGCCACUGGAAGACACUGCAGGAUGUGAUGCUGCAGCGGCUCAGUCAGGAGGACAAAGUAAUCGUUGGUGGCGACAUGAGGGCAGACUCUCCAGGUUUUUAUAUUUCACUGAAAUUAAAGACUCUACCUGG